UACUGUAUGAAUAAGCACCGGCUAACUCCGUGCCAGCAGCCGCGGUAAUACGGAGGGUGCAAGCGUUGUCCGGAUUUAUUGGGUUUAAAGGGUGCGCAGGUGGUUUAUUAAGUCAGUGGUGAAAGACGGUCGCUCAACGAUUGCAGUGCCAUUGAAACUGGUAGACUUGAGUAAAGUAGAGGUGGGCGGAAUUGAUAGUGUAGCGGUGAAAUGCAUAGAUAUUAUCAAGAACUCCAAUUGCGUAGGCAGCUCACUUGGCUUUUACUGACACUCAUGCACGAAAGUGUGGGUAUCAAACAGGAUUAGAUACCCUGGUAGU
rnacentral:rRNA from 2 species